rnacentral:rRNA from 1 species
AUUGAACGCUGGCGGCAUGCUUUACACAUGCAAGUCGAACGGUAACAGGGAAAAGCUUGCUUUUCUGCUGACGAGUGGCGAACGGGUGAGUAACACAUCGGAACGUGCCCUGUAGUGGGGGAUAACUACUCGAAAGAGUGGCUAAUACCGCAUACAACCUGAGGGUAAAAGUGGGGGACCGCAAGGCCUCACGCUAUAGGAGCGGCCGAUGGAAGAUUAGGUAGUUGGUAGGGUAAAGGCCUACCAAGCCGACGAUCUUUAGCGGGUCUGAGAGGACGAUCCGCCACACUGGGACUGAGACACGGCCCAGACUCCUACGGGAGGCAGCAGUGGGGAAUUUUGGACAAUGGGGGCAACCCUGAUCCAGCAAUGCCGCGUGAGUGAAGAAGGCCUUCGG